UUGCUACUUUACAAAUGCUUGGGUUGUUUUAAUAACCCGAGCAUUUGACAAGUUUUUGGAAAAUUAAAAAGAAAAAUUCACAAAUGCUCGGGUGUUAAAAACAACUCGAGCAUUUGACUAGUUUUAGACUUUGCGUUCCAACUUCCAAGUAAUUAAUUCCUUCCCCAAAAAAAAAGUAUUAAAUAUUCCCCCUCUAAUCUCUGUUCUCUCUCUCUUUCCCUCUCCACUCACUCUCGAUCUACUUCUUUGCAUGUCCACGAAGAGCAUUGCUGCAUCCUGCCGCCGCUGCUGAAGAACCAAAUUUUCAAGCCUUCUCUCACGAAAAGUUCGUUGAUGUCGUUAGAUCUGAAGGUUCCAUGACGUGAUUCUAAUAAACUUCUAUGAUUUUUGGUCGUGAAGUUAUCAUUCUAAUUUAUGAAGUAUUAGGGGUUUUGAUGUUUGAUUUCGAAGAUGGUUGAUUUUUCGAUGGUUUACUGGAGUUUGUGGGGCUUUGACUGAAUUUUGAUUCUGAUGAUGAUAUCACUUUGAGCGAAUAUCAGUUUGCCAUGCUUGACUUUCUCUAUAGAUUUUAAAUUUUUAUAUAGACACAAACAAGAUAAUUUGAUGGCUCUCCUCUUAUAAAUCUAUUUCAUCGAGACCUAAAGUUGGAAAACACUUUACUGGAUGGAAGUCCUGUUCCUUGAUUGAAGAUAUGCGACUUCGGCUACUCAAAGAUGCUUCACUCAUGUUAUGGAAGAUUUAGAUCACUUGUUUCUCGUGUCUUUGUUUAAGCUGCUGCUCCACUAGUUCAUAUGACAGGAGUACCCCCUUAUGAUAUGAAGAAGAAGAGAGGUAGGCCCUAGGAAGUAUAGCCCUGGUGGUGCUGUGGCGGCUGCAUUGUCGCCAAUGCCGAUUUCGGCUUCAAUUCCUCUGAGUAGAGACUUUUCAGGCUGGAAACAACAUAGAGUAAGGCCUUUUCAGACAAUAAAGAAGCCAUAUUAAGUGGAGUUUAAGAGUCUAGGUAAUAGUUUUUACAUCUCUUUUAAAUAAUUACUUUUUUCUAUUUUCCUGUAAUUUGUUUUGGUUGAUGUUUAGUUAAAUGGAGCUUUUCCUAUUUCAUGUUCUAGUCAUUUUUAGUUAAAAUUUAUAUCAGAGUUGUUCCCCUUCCAUGGGUCAGGAAUAUAUCAGAGUUGUUAGGAAAGAGUGGGCAGAGUUUGUUAAGCAAGGGAGUAUAAAUAAGAAAAUGAGAGGUGGAGAGAGGUAGACAGAUAUUUGUAAAGAGUUUUGCCUACUGGGAGAAUAUUGGGUCUCUCGAAUAUUCAGUAAACUAUUUUCCUUUUAUCAAUCAAACACCAUCAAUCUUCUGGGUUA